AAUAGAUACCCUGGUAGUCCACGCCGUAAACGAUGAGUGCUAAGUGUUAGAGGGUUUCCGCCCUUUAGUGCUGCAGCUAACGCAUUAAGCACUCCGCCUGGGGAGUACGGCCGCAAGGCUGAAACUCAAAGGAAUUGACGGGGGCCCGCACAAGCGGUGGAGCAUGUGGUUUAAUUCGAAGCAACGCGAAGAACCUUACCAGGUCUUGACAUCCUCUGACAACCCUAGAGAUAGGGCUUUCCCCUUCAGGGGACAGAGUGACAGGUGGUGCAUGGUUGUCGUCAGCUCGUGUCGUGAGAUGUUGGGUUAAGUCCCGCAACGAGCGCAACCCUUGAUCUUAGUUGCCAGCAUUCAGUUGGGCACUCUAAGGUGACUGCCGGUGACAAACCGGGAGGAAGGUGGGGAUGACGUCAAAUCAUCAUGCCCCCUUAUGACCUGGGCUACACACGUGCUACAAUGGAUGGUACAAAGGGCUGCAAACCUGCGAAGGUAAGCGAAUCCCAUAAAGCCAUUCUCAGUUCGGAUUGCG
rnacentral:rRNA from 1 species